rnacentral:misc_RNA from 1 species
UAACCGACUUCCAAAAAAGGAGGAGGUUCUCAAUUCGACUGUAUUUUUUUUUUUUUUUUUUUUUUUUUUUUUUUUUUUUUUUUUUUAUAUUUACUAUUUGUUUUUUUUUGUUUUUUUUUUUUUUUUGAUAGUACCUACACUAAGUACUUUUGUUUUUUGAAAGCCUAUUUAUGACGUCUGAGUAAAGGUUUUUUUUUUUCAAUAUGUCGCAGGUACCUAUGUA